GUUUUACUCUGACUUCGUAGCUUGUGUGAAUUCCAUCCAGCUGGCCUCAUGCCUGGCUGCCCUGUGUUAAACAUCCCCAGCCAGGGGCUCAGAGCUAUGAGCGUCUUCAAAGGGGUCACUACAUCUCCAGAAAAAUGCUCCCCAGCAGUCCUAACUGCAGUCUGCACUGAACUGGCCCAAGGACUCAAGAAAGAAGUUUGCUUCUUCCAUCCGAUCCCCAGAGUAUUGCCUGAGCCCACACAGAGUAGCAUCUAAGCGGUGCACGCUGCUGAUCACCCCUCCGUACUCCCCUAACCGCCCCACCGGAGGGGCCCCAAGCAGCUGUAAGUAGUAGCUGACCGCUCUCGGAGAACUGGGAUGCAGGGAACUUCUCCAUUGUCCAGUCCUUUGUGCUACCUUCAUCGGGGCAAGAGUGUGCCCCCCCAGCUGAAGCCUGUGAACCCAGAUUUCAGCCGAGAAUGUGAGUCCGCUGGACCAACAGGGAAGGGGGAAGGACAGGGAGGGCCCAGGCACCUCUGGGCUCCAGCACUAAUGGUUCCACGAGUUUGAAAUCUGGACAGGAUGUAUGUCCCUGCAUCCUCUGAAUGGGUCUUUGUCAAGAAUGAUGAGAGUAUCAAGGGAAAAGCUUCUUGCUCGAUUGAGCCAAGUAUACUCUUGCUCUAAUGAGCAAAAUUCUAAGUAGUUGACAUUGUUAGUUUUUGUACGAGCCACGCUCAGUGGAAUGAAAUCAAGGGAAUUAUCGUAUCUUGUGCAUGUUUACCAGUUCUAUUUUUGUAUUUCAAUGGGAUACAUGAUUUUUCUCUUGUCACUCCCUUCUCUGAGACUACGCCAUGAGAAAGAAACCUGUGUUGUAAGGACACCUUCUCUUCCUUGCAUCGGUCACCUGCCAUCACAAAGGACAGAAGUUCAGUGGUUAAGUCGUCAGACGUAACACCUGCAUGAUCCAGGUUCUGCAUUCAGUAGCACGGGAUCCUGGGGCUGUGACUGGACCCGGGGCCUGCCCCCACUGUGCACUGGAAGAACGUUAAUAAUACGCCCACAUAUUUAUUUUAGAGAGAGAGAGAAAGAGAGAAAGCAUGCAGGCACUUGAAUGCAUGUGAGUGGGGAAGGUGCAGAGGAAGAG